rnacentral:rRNA from 1 species
GACGAACGCUGGCGGCGUGCCUAAUACAUGCAAGUUGAGCGCUGAAGGUUGGUACUUGUGCCGACUGGAUGAGCAGCGAACGGGUGAGUAACGCGUGGGUAAUCUGCCUUUGAGCGGGGGACAACAUUUGGAAACGAAUGCUAAUACCGCAUAAAAACUUUAAACACAAGUUUUAAGUUUGAAAGAUGCAAUUGCAUCACUCAAAGAUGAUCCCGCGUUGUAUUAGCUAGUUGGUGAGGUAAAGGCUCACCAAGGCGAUGAUACAUAGCCGACCUGAGAGGGUGAUAGGCCACAUUGGGACUGAGACACGGCCCAAACUCCUACGGGAGGCAGCAGUAGGGAAUCUUCGGCAAUGGACGAAAGUCUGACCGAGCAACGCCGCGUGAGUGAAGAAGGUUUUCGGAUCGUAAAACUCUGUUGGUAGAGAAGAACGUUGGUGAGAGUGGAAAGCUCAUCAAGUGACGGUAACUACACAGAAAGGGACGGCUAACUACGUG